CAGAGGGUGGAGGCUGGUAGGCGAGGAGAGAACUGCAAACCAAUUCCCAAUUAAUGAAUUUGCUGAGUAGUUCCUCCCCAAGGAGAGUCAGUCUGGCAGAGACAUUCAGCUCUAGCUGAGGCCAGGCUAGAUCUGUUGGACCAGAGUCGACCUGCAGACCUGUGAACAUGAGCAUAAGUGUUCGCUGAGAGCCAAGGAGUUUUGGUGUGGUUUGUUACAAAGCUUUGUCCAGGCAGCAGCUGACUGAUUCCUGCCCUGGCAGAAAACUGGAGCACCCAUCUCUUUAUGUAGAAGUGAGGGUUCAUUGAAGUAUGAAGUAUGUAAAGUGUGCUAAGCAGGACUUUGGCUUAUAAUUAUAAUAAUUGUUACUAUUAUUAAUCUCACAUUAAACUUUGCUCACUCUCUCUCUUAACCAAACCAAAGUUCUAGAAGCCUCCUAGCGGGACGGGAAAGGAAAUGUUGGAUCAACAUACAUGGAUUGAUUAGAUGGGACCAAUGAGGCCUUACAGUCUGUUUGAGGAGGGAAAGAGAGAGAGGAGAAGGAGACAGGCAGGAUAGGUCAGGUUCUAGGGGCUCCCAUGGUUUGUAUCUUAACAAUCUACCAUUUUCUUUUCAGGCCAGUGUCCACAUCCUGCUCACAUUUGGGACAUCUGUGAGGCAGGGUGCCUCCUUUUUGUCCCUCCAAGAGGACAGUUGGGGGACUUGGCCUCUGGCCGCCUCAAGUUGGGUCAGCACCUGCUGGGCCUCAUCCUGGUUCAUCGUGCAUCAAUGGGAGCGCACCUGGGUUCUGCUGACAUGUGAGAGCUUCUUCACCGAGGGGUUCAGAAAAGUGUGCUCAUGGCCUGUAGAUCUGGAUUCAAAGGGAGAUGAGAAAAAUAGGAACUGAGCCCGUGGCUUGCCUCACCCACUUCCUGAGCCUGCGCAAGGGACAAGACUUUCCUGUGUGGCCUUCUUACGGCAGUCCACAGGGAAGUGGCCUCAUUUUCUGUGUCUGUCCUGCCCAGCGCCCCCACUCUCCUGUGCUGGUCCCAGGCCAUCCCUUAGCCAGAGUGCAGAACUCCAGACCCCCAAUAUUCUCUCAUAUCCUCAGAAUCUUCAGCUUCCAUCCAUGGAUGUUGGCUGAAUCCUGAGUGGGGUCGUAGAAAGAUCUGGUCCUGUGAGUAGGGGGGCGAGGAGGAAGGCAGGGACUUCAGCUGGGCUGUCUACAACCUGAGUCUAAAACACCUAAAGACAAGCACAACUUGCCCCCGCUAGGACGAAUUUCUUGCUCCAGACCGCCUCACUGCAUCUCUAGGGCCAUGUGUAUUCCUGCUAUUUGGCCACAUUCCUUGAGAAAAAUUGCCUAUUAAAAGAAUUUCCUUAUUCACCA